UGGCGCACGGGUGAGUAACGCGUGGGUAAUCUGCCUUUUAGUGGGGAAUAACUUACCGAAAGGUGAGCUAAUACCGCAUAAGACCACAGUAUCUAUGGAUACAGGGGUUAAAGGGGGCUUCGGCUCUCGCUAGAAGAUGAGCUCGCGUCCCAUUAGCUAGUUGGUGGGGUAAUGGCCUACCAAGGCGACGAUGGGUAACUGGUCUGAGAGGAUGAUCAGUCACACUGGAACUGAGACACGGUCCAGACUCC
rnacentral:rRNA from 1 species